CAGAGAAUAGUUUAAGUUCAAAAUGCUACCUUUGGGAGUUAGUGGUGGGAGUUUGAAUCUCUUUUCUUUGG
rnacentral:tRNA from 1 species